UGCAUAUCAAUAAGCGGAGGAAAAGAAACCAACAGGGAUUGCCUCAGUAACGGCGAGUGAAGCGGCAACAGCUCAAAUUUGAAAUCUGGCUCUUUUAGGGUCCGAGUUGUAAUUUGUAGAAGAUGCUUCGGGUGUGGUCCCAGUCUAAGUUCCUUGGAACAGGACGUCAUAGAGGGUGAGAAUCCCGUAUGUGAUUGGGUACCUUCGCUCAUGUGAAGCUCUUUCGACGAGUCGAGUUGUUUGGGAAUGCAGCUCAAAAUGGGUGGUAAAUUUCAUCUAAAGCUAAAUAUUGGCCAGAGACCGAUAGCGCACAAGUAGAGUGAUCGAAAGAUGAAAAGCACUUUGGAAAGAGAGUUAAACAGUACGUGAAAUUGUUGAAAGGGAAGCGCUUGCAACCAGACUUGCACGCGGUUGAUCAUCCGGUGUUCUCACCGGUGCACUCUGCCGCGUUCAGGCCAGCAUCGGUUUUGGUGGUUGGAUAAAGGCCUUGGGAAUGUAGCUUCUUUCGGGGAGUGUUAUAGCCCUCGGUGCAAUGCAGCCUACCGGGACCGAGGACCGCGCUUCGGCUAGGAUGCUGGCGUAAUGGUUGUAAGCGACCCGUCUUGAAACACGGACCA
rnacentral:rRNA from 1 species